rnacentral:rRNA from 1 species
UACGUAUGGUGCAAGCGUUAUCCGGAUUUACUGGGUGUAAAGGGAGCGCAGGCGGCACGGCAAGCCUGAUGUGAAAGCCCGCGGCCCAACCGCGGGACUGCAUUGGGAACUACCGGGCUGGAGUGCCGGAGAGGUAGGCGGAAUUCCUAGUGUAGCGGUGAAAUGCGUAGAUAUUAGGAGGAACACCAGUGGCGAAGGCGGCUUACUGGACUGUAACUGACGUUGAGGCUCGAAAGCGUGGGGAGCAAACAGG